rnacentral:rRNA from 1 species
UACGAAGGGUGCAAGCGUUACUCGGAAUUACUGGGCGUAAAGCGUGCGUAGGUGGUUUGUUAAGUCUGUUGUGAAAGCCCCGGGCUCAACCUGGGAAUGGCAAUGGAUACUGGCAAGCUAGAGUGCGGUAGAGGGUAGUGGAAUUCCCGGUGUAGCGGUGAAAUGCGUAGAGAUCGGGAGGAACACCAGUGGCGAAGGCGGCUACCUGGACCAGCACUGACACUGAGAGACGAAAGCUAGGGGAGCAAAUGGG